ACAAAAUAAUUAAUGAAUGGAGGCAGGAAACUCACUGUUGCUACAGAAGGGAAAAGGUGAUCCUGGAUUCCUAUUGGGCGGCAUAUGGCCAUGUGCUCAAGAAUCAGAAGCUGGAGCAAAUCAAGCAAACGUUCUAAUAUUAGAAAAUGUAUCUAGGCAGUGAUCAAAAGCCAAACCACUACUUUACGUGAAUGGAUAACUUUAUUCUUGUUGCAAUUUAGCUUAGGAGGAAAGUAAUAGGAAUCCUCUAAAUCCUGUAUGAUGUGUGUUAAGUAUUUAAAAUUCUCAGUAAGUCCAAAUGAGAAGAAAGCUACAUCAGGAUUGUGACAUGUUUUAAAAGUUCACCUGAGGAAACUGGAUCAGAUAUCGCAGCGUCUUCUGACUGAGGCUGAGCUUGCUGGUCGUGGUCUUCUCUGGAGUCUCCGUGAUUCCCUCAGUCGGCGUCGAGCCAAUCCAAGCAGCUUUGAAACAAGUGUGAGAUGAAAUCGGAGUCGAUAUCAUGACCUCUUUGUCAUCGCAGUCAUCGAAGCUGACCUCCUGAACUGCUUCCUGCUUUUUAAACGAAUCUCGUCUCUCUGACAAGUUUAGCUUCCUCAUAACCACCACCUCCUUCGAUCUCUCCAAGUCCCUCACUCGCUGACCGGACAGAUACAGCCCUUGUCUGGUAUGGUCACCGACACACACAAAACCUGAGGCAAUGUCACUUUGUGACUCAAGCUCAUCACCAUCACCCUGGAGAACCUCUACAGUGUGCCUUUGAGGGGAGAAGGCCUUUUUGUCUCCGGACAGCCUGUCAGAUGACUGAACCCUGUUCAGCAGUGGCGAGCGGGGGGAUUCUGCACUGCGGGGACACACCGUCUGUCUGACAAUGGUCGGUGGGGACAUCAUUUUGUUAUGGAAUGAGUGGAGGCUUUUAGGAGUCCCAGUGAGGGAAGAUGGAGAACACUGUGGAGAGAGAGGCUGUGGAGAGGGAUUGCAAGCAAGAGGAGAAGGGGGGAUACUAUUGGUGGUCUUGCAGCGGCCUUGUUUGCUAUAGCGAAGGCCUAGUUUAGAUCCCAAAACAUGAAGAGAACUUGGUCGACUUUGAGGAAUUGGUGAAUUUGGAGAGCUUGAGCAUGGUGAGGAACUCUGUGGAGAAUUCGAAUCUGUGGAAAGAGUGCUGCAAUGACAGUGACGUACCACAUGACAGAUCUGGAGCUGGGCUUCGACAUGGAGUGUUGGGCCCAGGAGACAGGCUUGGUGUUGGGGAAUCCGACAGGCUGUCGUUGGGCGAGUGCUGGAACCCAGCCGAAAAACUGCGACUAUUCUGUAUCCCCGGGUUGUGUUUUGGGAGCUUUUUUAUAAGGCUGCGGCGCUUGCUAGAAAAAAUACAAAGUUCAGGGGUAAGUUUUUGGAUCAUUAAAGUGUUCUGGUAUUGGCAAGAUACUGCAAAACAUCCUCCUAA